GGGCGAAUGGUCUAGGGGUAUGAUACUCCCUUCGCAUCACUGAAGAGUACAGCGUCUGGGAGGGGUCCGGGGUUCAAUUCCCCGUUCGUCCA